UACGAAGGGGGCUAGCGUUGUUCGGAAUCACUGGGCGUAAAGCGCACGUAGGCGGAUCUUUUAAGUCAGGGGGUGAAAUCCCGAGGCUCAACCUCGGAACUGCCUUCGAUACUGGCGAUCUUCGAGUCCGGGAGAGGUGAGUGGAACUCCGAGUGUAGAGGUGAAAUUCGUAGAUAUUCGGAAGAACACCAGUGGCGAAGGGCGGCUCACUGGCCCGGUACUGACGCUGAAAUACGAAAAGCGUGGGGAGCAAACAGGGA
rnacentral:rRNA from 1 species